rnacentral:lncRNA from 1 species
GCCUCAGCCACAGCCGCAGGUACAGCCACAACAGCUGCAAACACAACCACAGCUACAGACACAGCAUCAGCCGCAGCCGCAACAGCAGCAACAGCCGCAGCCACAGCUACAGACGCAGCCGCAUGAGCAGCAACCCCAACAGCAGCAGCCAGAGAUGCCAACGGCGGGGGACAUGGCGGCUCCAAGCACCCCCAACAGCACUCAGGCGAUGGCUAUGAUCCUAAAGCGGGUCGGAUGGCAGAUACCGGGCGGCACAACAACCGUCCCACUCACACGCCUGACGGUCCGCCUAGCGACACAGCUGCAAUGCGGGGCCACCGAGGAGAAACGGGGACGCUUGAUGGCAGCAUUUGUGCAAGAAGCGUUGGACCCGCAGGAAACGGCACCUUCCUCCUCAGCGGAAACAAGCCGCUUCAGGGCGACGCAAGCCCGCUUGUGGUCGGGGGUGC